rnacentral:rRNA from 1 species
AGGCAACCUGCCCUCAAGUUUGGGACAACUACCGGAAACGGUAGCUAAUACCGAAUAAUUGUUUUCUUCGCCUGAAGAGAACUGGAAAGACGGAGCAAUCUGUCACUUGGGGAUGGGCCUGCGGCGCAUUAGCUAGUUGGUGAGGUAACGGCUCACCAAGGCGACGAUGCGUAGCCGACCUGAGAGGGUGAUCGGCCACACUGGGACUGAGACACGGCCCAGACUCCUACGGGAGGCAGCAGUAGGGAAUCUUCCGCAAUGGGCGAAAGCCUGACGGAGCAAUGCCGCGUGAGUGAUGAAGGUUUUCGGAUCGUAAAGCUCUGUUGCCAGGGAAGAACGCUUGGGAGAGUAACUGCUCUCAAGGUGACGGUACCUGAGAAGAAAGCCCCGGCUAACUACGUGCCAGCAGCCGCGGUAAUACGUAGGGGGCAAGCGUUGUCCGGAAUUAUUGGGCGUAAAGCGCGCGCAGGCGGUCAUUUAAGUCUGGUGUUUAAUCCCGGGGCUCAACCCCGGAUCGCACUGGAAACUGGGUGACUUGAGUGCAGAAGAGGAGAGUGGAAUUCCACGU